ACUCCUACGGGAGGCAGCAGUGGGGAAUAUUGCACAAUGGGGGAAACCCUGAUGCAGCCAUGCCGCGUGUGUGAAGAAGGCCUUCGGGUUGUAAAGCACUUUCAGUAGGGAGGAAGGUAGUGUAGUUAACACCUGCAUUAUUUGACGUUACCUACAGAAGAAGCACCGGCUAACUCCGUGCCAGCAGCCGCGGUAAUACGGAGGGUGCGAGCGUUAAUCGGAAUUACUGGGCGUAAAGCGCAUGCAGGCGGCCUGUUAAGUCAGAUGUGAAAGCCCGGGGCUUAACCUCGGAAUUGCAUUUGAAACUGGCAGGCUAGAGUCUUGUAGAGGGGGUUAGAAUUUCAGGUGUAGCGGUGAAAUGCGUAGAGAUCUGAAGGAAUACCAGUGGCGAAGGCGGCCCCUGGACAAAGACUGACGCUCAGAUGCGAAAGCGUGGGAGCAAACAGGAUUAGAUACCCCUGGUAGACUGUCA
rnacentral:rRNA from 1 species